UACCACAGAAAUUGAUGACACAAGAGAAGAUAUGUGAUGAUGAAGAGGAUGGCAAAGGCCAAGCUACCGAGACUCACAUCUCUAAAAUUCAAUCAUCACUUAGAAUAGCAACAAAUGUCAGGCCAAUUUUUCUAAUAAAUGUAUCAGAGAAUGGUUCUAUGAUCCUCAAGAAACCAACCAUUAUAAAAAUUCACAGCACUGUUUUUAUGCCUUUAAUGUGCUGAGAGUACUAAUGCUGACAGGUGGUACUCACGCCAGCAGGUUCAUGGAGGUUAAUUUACUUCACUAAAUUGUUCCCAAAGUGUUUUUCUCCACUCUUCUCAAAAGAUCACUGAAGUCUAUGAAAGACUUGGUAUAGCAUUUUAAUGGUAGUCAUGGCCCAUUUGAUUUGAAGGAAACUUUACAGUUUCUCUUGGCAUCAAUGGCUCCUUUGAGAACUAGCAGCAGAUUUUUUCUUUAAAUAUGGGUUCAGGGAAUUUUAGCUGGUGACUAAUGUGCCACCCCCAAAGCAAAAUAAUUCACCCGACUAACAAUCAGCCCAUUAAUAGCUGACAGGCAAGUAAGUCCAAAUAUGUUACUCUGUCACAUGCUUCUACAUUGGCAAUCCCCCCACUUUCCCCCACCGCCUCCCCAGCCCCCCAACCCAGGUCAUCAUAAACUGCCAACCAAUUAGAAGCCGGCAGAUUCUGUGUCCUAAAUUCCACCAGUCAAGGCCUGGUUCUGGUCCAUCUGGUCGGUGGAAUGGUGGAAAAGAAAUGAAUACUUUUUUUUCCUGAAGAUUGGCACAAGAGGCCACUAGACUCAAUCAGCCUGUACCCAGAUUAGCAGUUGGGUCAGUGUUGUGGCCUAGAUUAAAAAGAGCAUCCAACAGUGCAGGAAAGUGGUCUACGAUAUCCUACACUCUGCAAGAGUUAGUAUCACCAUCUUCUCUCUACUACCUUGCACUCACAGGCCUGCACUCGUUGCACAGAAGUUAAUGGACUACAACAAUAGGUAUUGCAUACAUCAUGUCCACUCUACAGCUCCCACCACUGCAUCCUCCAAAGAUGCUGCCUGUCGUGAUGAAAUUUUCCAGCAAUUUCCGUUUUUCUUUCUGUACAAGAGCACUUUUGCCUGCUAGACAGGGCCCUAUACAUCUUCACAGAGAAUAAACCUUGUACGUUUUAAUAAAUAUUUAUAAACAUUGUUGCCAUUUACAGCAACUACAAAGAAUGUGCUCUGAAGAUUGCUGGAAAAUUAAGGUAACAAUUAUGCUGCCUGGAAACUGGCAUGAUUGCCAAACACAACCUGCAGACUAAAUGAGUGGAAGCCUCUCAUUGACUUCUUACGAGGAACCAUUUGGGUGCUAGCCAUCUUACAUUUGGAGUGCUUUGUAUUCUGGAAAAAUCAGUUUCCGUUGCAUUUUACUUUAAAAUAUGUACUGAUUUCUCCAGGGAUUGCAUCAUGUUGAGAGGAAUUAAAUGCUUGCUGGCUAAUAUUCAUUAUACAAAGGCUAAAAAGAUUGUGUUAUAUACCCAGAUCAGAAAAAAGGCCAAUUAGGCUCAUAAGUGCUGUACCAUACUUUUUACUGAAAUUAGCGUCAUAUUUCCCUCUCCAUCCUUCUCCUCCAAAUGACCACAUUCUCAGUCUUGCACCAUGUAUACCCUAGAGUCAUAAUUUAUAACUGACAACUCAAUAAAUUAUUAGAACACAGUAUGCAUUUUU